rfam:Asian citrus Psyllid, Diaphorina citri - Florida Strain, whole genome shotgun sequence.
GCCAGCGGCGAUAGCACGUUUAACGCACCAGUUCCCGAUGAAUCACUGAAGCCACGUUGUGCGUGGUUGUUAUCCGGAUGGGUGACCAUCUGAACAAUCGCGUGCUCCUGGCA